GCCUCCCCUGCUGCAGCACAUCCAGCUUGCAAAGCUUUUGGCAUUUUUUAACGAUCUGCCAGAAUUUGGCUCUCUUGGCACGAAGGACACAUUCUAAACUGAGAUGCCUGUUUAAAUCCCACCUGGCAGAGCCAAGCUAAUCAAUUUACCUUAUCAAGCUGCAACGUCUAAUUAGAGCUCUCCUGACACCACUCCCAAGUUGGGUUCAGCUCGUCCUGGAGGCAGUGUAGCCCUUUUAUUACUUUCUACAACUUAAUCACUGUGCUUUAAAGACAUUUUCUCUGAUUUGCUCAAAGGCCACAGAGCCCCUUUGGGUGAGUGUGGGUUGGCAGUGGCUCCAGACGAACAUCCCAAAGUCCAGGAAAAUCUUUCUGCUGAAGGAUAUCCAUGGUAUGGAGCUGUUCUUUCCAGGAGUGAGCAAUAUUUAACCUUAAGCACUUUCAAAUCCGGCCUCAGGAAUAUUGAGAUGAAAGGCUCGUGGCACUAAGCUCCUUUCAAAUGGAUAUUGCAGCAGAGCUGCCUGGACAUUUGUCUGGCUGAAGCUGAGCAGUGUUUAACAUGCUGCCGGUGUGCCCGUGCUCCUCGAGGAGC